rnacentral:rRNA from 1 species
GGCGUAAAGGGGGCGCAGGCGGAAGUGUAAGCCAGACGUGAAAUUUCGGGGCUCAACCCCGAAGCUGCGUUUGGAACUGCAUUUCUAGAGGAUAGGCGGAGAAAACGGAAUUCCACAUGUAGCGGUGAAAUGCGUAGAUAUGUGGAAGAACACCGGUGGCGAAAGCGGUUUUCUAGCUUAUUCCUGACGCUGAGGCCCGAAAGCUAGGGGAGCGAACAGGAUUAGAUACCCUGGUAGUCCUAGCCGUAAACGAUGCAUACUUGGUGUAGCUGGACUCAACCCCAGCUGUGCCGUAGCUAACGCGUUAAGUAUGCCGCCUGGGGAGUACGCUCGCAAGGGUAAAACUCAAAAGAAUUGACGGGGACCCGCACAAGCAGUGGAGCAUGUGGUUUAAUUCGAUGCAACGCGAAGAACCUUACCCAGACUUGACAUGUAGAGGCCAGUACUAGAAAUAGUAUCUUCCCUCGGGACCUCUACACAGGUGCUGCAUGGCUGUCGUCAGCUCGUGCCGUGAGGUGUUGGGUUAAGUCCCGCAACGAGCGCAACCCUUAUCGUUAGUUGCCAGCACGUAAUGGUGGGAACUCUAACGAGACUGCCUGGGUUAACCAGGAGGAAGGUGAGGAUGAGGUCAAGUCCGCAUGGCCCUUAUGUCUGGGGCUACACACGUGCUACAAUGGUCGGUACAAAAGGCAGCGAAGCCGCGAGGUGGAGCAAAUCCAAAAAGCCGACCCCAGUUCGGAUUGUAGUCUGCAACUCG